rnacentral:tmRNA from 1 species
GGGGGCGCCACGGUCUCGACGGGGAUCAUUGAGGCGAGGGCUGCGUGCCGAGGUUCCGACUGGGCUCGUUAAAAAAGUCGGGAAACGAUAAGCGGAAACAGCAACUACGCUUACGCCACUGCUUAAUUGACAGUGGCCGUUCCUCCGGUCUUCUCCCGAAAGGCCGGUAAGGGGCGUCGACAAAACGGGAUAGCCCGCCGCCGAAGCUUAUGGGCGGAAGGCGAAAUUUCAUAAGCUGGCUCCUCCAGGAAUUCUGCCGAUGGAAGUCCGGAGGGGCGAGAUUCAAAUCAGCGGCUACGCACGUAGAUGCUCCUUGCCGAAGGUUUCCGGACGCGGGUUCGACUCCCGCCGCCUCCACCA